UGACCUGGUGGCUCUGUCGGAGGUUCCCCACCCGAUCCCAUUCCGAACUCGGUCGUUAAGACCUCCAGAGCCGAUGGUACUUCGUCUUAAGGCGCGGGAGAGUAGGUCGCCGCCGGGUCU
rnacentral:rRNA from 1 species